GCUGAACACGGAGAAAAGCAGGGGCGCGCGAGCGCCUCUCGCCCAAGGUGCAAGCCGCGCGUUCCGGCGUGGUGAAACUCUCAGGCCAAUGACUCCGGGGAGACC
rnacentral:ncRNA from 2 species